CCCAGCCCGGAAAGUUAACAAAACACUUAGGUCGUGACCCUAACAACAAGAGAGUUCCCCUCUUCCAGGCU
rnacentral:tRNA from 1 species